AUUUAUUUGUAUGUUUAUUUGCUUUUGAGGAGUGCUGAAACAUAAUGGCUUAAAUUGUGGAUGCUAACCGAAUACAGUGGUUGCAAAGCAUUGCUGUGCAAGUGAUUAAUCUGAGUAAAGUGCUUUUUUUGUUGUUGUUAAACCCUUGAUAUUCAACAUCCUCAAUGUUGUGGUGACCAUACAAACUAGAAUUGAUGAGUAAAUGUGUUUUGAUGCAAAUUGUUUUAACAUCAUAUGCAGAAUGUCAUCUCAAAUUGUCAACAGUCUAUUAAGUCUGGUAUUAAAAACAUCUGACCCUGCCAAAGGAGGGUUAGGGUUAGGGUUAGUUAGGAAUGAAUGAAAUCCAGAAGCUGAAACAUAGUUCAACCUCGGUACAUGCACUGUCCUUCUUAUACUCCUAAUGGCCACCUGUUUUCACCGUUCGAGCAGAGCCCCACAGCCCAGGCCCACAACACCCCCCCGGACAAAGAGAAAUCCUUUUAAAUUAAUUAUUAAUAGUACAAUAGAUGUAAUGGAUAGGGUUAGAGUUUAUAGGUUUCAAACUAUCAGGGGUAGAAUGAGUAGGUUUAGAUGUAGUGUGGUUAACUUGGUUAAGUUUAGGUGUAGUAUAGUUAGCUUUGUUAGGUUUAGGUGUAGUAUAGUUAACUUGGUUAAGUUUAGGUGUAGUAUAGUUAACUUAGGGUUAGGGUUAGGGUUAGGGUUAGAUUAGGUUAGGUUAUAUAGAUAAAUGCGAAUAGUGGUCACUUAUGAAGUGGUCGACCCCCCCAUAUCUCGUGACCCGUACGUGCUAGAGUGCUCAAACUUGGUUUAUUAUACUCCUUGUGGCCCCCUCAGUCUAUUGCCCUGUUUCGUUGCUCUAGCGCCACCAG
ensembl:lncRNA